UCCAUUUUGUAGCUCCUUGAAAGCCUAUCAAAUUAGCGAUUGCUUUAUAGUAUGAUGCUAUAAUAAUUAUAGUGAUGGUGUAGUUGUCAGGUGUGUGAUAUAUAGUCCUCUCCAAUAGCUACAGAAUGCACUAUUCACUUAUUACAAGCUUUUGAUUCAACUCAAUAUUAAUAUCUCCCAUUGUUGAGCAUCUUAUAAAUAUGCUCCCCCACACACAGUUUCAACACACACGUGUAGAGGAGCUGUGUCAGAAUAAUGUCUUCACAAGGGAUCACAAGUUUCCCACGGAUGAGGACCGCCUCACUGACUUCCAUUCCCAUCUCUUGUUUGAUGACGAGAUAAAUAUCACCUUCUGUUGUGUGCCUAGACUCAUCACAAGAUCAGGAGCUACUAGACUCUGUCAUGUCACGGCUGAGGGAUAGAGCUGAUCAGAGGAGGGUACUAGCCAAACCAUGCUUCCAGGACUUUGACAGACUGGCCAUUUCCUACGGAUGACUUUGGUAGCACUUCAUUUAACGGACGUUCCUCUACCCCGCCCACUCAUAAUACUGCUGACAAUGCAAGACGAGACUUGUUUGGAGCACCCCCCUUUUGGAGAAGGUUCAAAGGUUACGACAACAAUGACAACUGUAGAUCAAUUUGGAGCAGUUCCUUUUAGCUGAAUUUUAAUAUUUAUUUUUCCGUGUGUUUUAAUUAUUAUAAGUGUUGUUUUGUGUGUAGUAGGAUCACAUGACUGGACUAUUGAGACUGUGUGCAUAAUUAAUAUUAUAAUUAUUAUAAAUGGAUUUUUAUGUUCAGUGCUUAUCUUUGUUAUCUUAGCCUCGAUCCCAGCUUAGGCCGCUCUUCCUCGAAGAGAGGCCUGGGACUUGUGAAGGAGGCUAAUAUUAUCUG